rnacentral:rRNA from 1 species
CGGUAACAGGGUGCUUGCACCGCUGACGAGUGGCGAACGGGUGAGUAAUACAUCGGAAUGUACCCAGUAAUGGGGGAUAACGCUUCGAAAGGAGUGCUAAUACCGCAUACGCCCUGAGGGGGAAAGUGGGGGACCGCAAGGCCUCACGUUAUUGGAGCAGCCGAUGGCUGAUUAGCUAGUUGGUGAGGUAAAGGCUCACCAAGGCGACGAUCAGUAGCGGGUCUUAGAGGACGAUCCGCCACACUGGAACUGAGACACGGUCCAGACUCCUACGGGAGGCAGCAGUGGGGAAUCUUGGACAAUGGGCGAAAGCCUGAUCCAGCAAUGCCGCGUGCGUGAAGAAGGCCUUCGGGUUGUAAAGCGCUUUUGUCUGGGAGCAAAUCCUGGCCUCUAAUACAGGUCGGGGAUGAGAGUACCAGAAGAAUAAGGACCGGCUAACUACGUGCCAGCAGCCGCGGUAAUACGUAGGGUCCAAGCGUUAAUCGGAAUUACUGGGCGUAAGGCGUCCGCAGGUGGCUUGAUAAGAUAGACGUGAAAUCCCUGGGCUCAACCUAGGAAUUGCGUUUAUGACUGUCUCGCUAGAGUAUGGGAGAGGGGGGUGGAAUUCCACGUGUAGCAGUGAAAUGCGUAGAGAUGUGGAGGAACACCGAUGGCGAAGGCAACCCCCUGGCCUAAUACUGACACUCAUGGACGAAAGCGUGGGGAGCAAACAGGAUUAGAUACCCUGGUAGUCCACGCCCUAAACGAUGUCUACUAGUUGUUGGGCUUUUCGGAGCUUAGUAACGCAGCUAACGCGUGAAGUAGACCGCCUGG